CACCAUUGCACUCCAGCCUCCGCAAUAAGAGUGAAACUCCGUCUGGAAAACAAACAAACAAAAACCUAGAUGAUGGGGGUGAGGUUAGGGGGAUGCUUUUUGGGUUAAUAAUUCCUUCAAGGAAUAAUGUUUGGAGGACAGGGCUUGGAAAAGUGCUAAUCCCAGCAAGAGCCGCCUUCCCAGCUUGGCCCGAGGAGCCACAUCACCACGCAGCAGCCCCCACGAUGCACAGUAGUGGUAGGAAGCUUGGCCCCUCUCUCCCCGCAGAGGCACGUCGUCCAUUGUUCUGCCCUGGGCCUCGGGCACCCACCCCCAGAAGCGGCCCCAUCAGCACAGACAGGAAGUGCACCUUGCUGGUGAGCAGGUCUGCUGCUUGUCAGUCAGCGCUGGGUUUCCCCAGACACUGAUGGGCAGCCUUUUUGGAAAAUAAGAAUCAGAAGACUCCAACACGUGCACCCAAGAAAUGUCACCUUCUGCUUUACAAAGGGUGUACCCUUCAUGGCAACAGGCCCAGCCGCACAGAGCUUCCUCAGAGCCAGUGUCCUGGGAGAGGCCUGUCAUGUGCCAGGGUCAGCUGCUGGGAUUCUCCUGGGUUUUGUGUUAAGCUGGGCCAAUGUGGUGACACGGGGAACGCCAGGAAGGUGUGAGAGGAGAGGAACCGACUCUUGGCUGUUACAGCGGCUGUUUGCAGGUUCAGGUGUGGCCGAGAGGGGUGCAGAAGGGUGGGCUGCCAUCAUUUCAUGCCUGGAAAGUCACUUCCACAGCAAGAGGCCCGCUCCAUGCCUUGCCAGGCCCUCCCGUCACCGUGACCCUCCGGCUCCCAGGACCACCAGGAGCACAGGUUGGGGCAGAGGUGGUAUCAGCAGAUGAGAGUCUUGAAGUGGCUGGGGCCAGGCGGGCCUGGCUGAGGUUCAGUUGGGUCCUGAUUCUCUGGAAUACCUUGGGGAAGUCCCCGAGGAGGCAACACACUCAUGUGGGGAACUUUUCCCCUCCACUGCCAUGAAAAAAACUCCCUAGAAGGGAUGAGGGGUGCAGACAGCACCCUGGCUGGUGGCAUUUGAUGUGUCUGGGAAGGCCCCUUCUAUCCCCAAAGACCUCCCAUUAGAUGGCAGGGUGGUCAACCUGAGCACGGCCAACAGCCAUUGGGCGCUGAUGCAUGGCGAGAACUGGCAGAGGACCUUUUCUUUUGAAAUCACGUCCUCACCACCAUCUUGUGAGAUAGGUUUUACUAUGAUCCUCGCUUUCAGAUGAAGACACUGAACUCUAGUCUGACAGCCAGGAGGCAGCCAGGUCAGGACUGGAAUGCAAGCAGCCUGACCCCAGUCACAGGCAAGGUGCGCCUACAGUCACCCCAGUGCCUUUGAGGGGGAAUCACGAGAGGAGGGUGAAACCCACGCAGUGCCAGCAAUCACGUGCCACUGUGUUGAAGUUCUUCCCUGAGGAUGGGCGUGCAUUCGAUUAGAGGCCUUGUAGAGUGUGGGAAGGUAGGGAGUGGCAGAGAUUCACUUCUUGCUUCUUGCAACCAAAGGGUUGCAGCAGGACAACCACGCACGCCUCUGCCCGGACCUUUCUGCCUUAGCCUGCAGUAACUGGCUGGGCACUGGGUGUCCUGGGCCCUGGGUUGCCCCCCGCAGGAAUAUAGAGUUGCCUGUGUGUGCAGUGGUGGGUGCUUUCUGUUCUCGAUGCUCCAUCUCUGUGAAAGAUGAGCUCUGCAUGUCCCACAAGGUAUCUUCAGAAGCACAGAGAUUUGCUGUGCUUGUCCAAGAAAGCACCCUAUGUGUUCAGAGUGGCCGAGACGGGACCUCUCCCACAGCCUGGCACCAGGUCCUGGCAGGAAGCAGCCCAGUCUGAAGAACUCAGACAAAGAGAGGCUCAUCAAGACCAGGCAAGAGAAGCAGCAGUGGGUGUCAGAGCAACCAGACUGGCAGGAGCUCCCUCCAACCCCUGAGGCUGAGGGGCAGGGCUGGGCAAUGGUAGCACCUGAGCCCAUUAGGACCUGGACCCUGGAGGGAGCCGGCAGGCCCUGGGCAAGGCAGGCUUUAAGAAGUGCAGCGAGGAAGAGUCUGUGUGGGGUGGCCUGGGUGGUGGGCACGGAGCCGGGUGGUUGCCUUUCACACAGGCAGCCCUGGCCCUCAGCCAUGGGUGGGGCUGGCACCUCAGUGAUUGGAUGGAGGAAGUGCUACCAGCUUCUGAGAAGCAUCUGAGUGUCAACAAGCUGACACUAAAAGGGGGUCUGAGUGGGGAGUCUCUGCUCUCCUACACAAUGUGCUCCAGAAAUGUGCUAUUCGGAGCUUUGCCUGUGACCCCCUGCUUCGGAAGCAUUCCUGCCCAUGUGCCCCACUGAUCUCUGCUUUUCCUGGCAGCCUGUCUGGAGAACCGACCCCUCCCAGGGAAGGUCAUCUGUGUUAUGGGCGUGGGAGCAUCUGCUAUGAACUGUGUCCUCGUAAGAGACCCCCAUGAAGAGGGGGUGGCCUCAUCUGCGGCCCCAUUGGCCGCUGUGCCCACAGCCCACAGUGAGAGCAAGGUUGGCACCACACAGAUUGCCAUGAGGGAAAGGAAUAUUUAAUCUGGGCAGCCUCUGUUCGGAGGAGGUGGGGAGAGAAGGCAGUCACUCUGGAAUAUUCCAUGAACAGAGUGGAGCCUCGAAGCCUGGAGCGCAGGCAGGGAGGUGCACCGGGCGGAGAGGCCCACAGGGGCUGCUCGGUGGGGGGGGGUACCCUGGGCGAGGAGGGGGGUCUGGGAAGAGGGGUGAGGGCACCGGGGCAUGAAUGGCCUGCAGGUAAAGGCCCAGAACUGGCAUGGCCUUGGCAUCACACUUGCAAACGCUGAGGACCUAUCCUGGGGAGACCAGAGACUAGAAGGCAAGAAGGGCUGGUUUCCAGGUGCCUGCCCAGGAAGCUCCUGUGCUGUGGGCUGUGGGCGGCUGUGGAAGGCCCUGGGGCUUGAUUUAGGCCUGGGGAUGCUGGGCUGGCGGCUGCGAGGGAAGAGCAGUCAGGAGCAGGAACCACUGCCUGGACUGGACGCCUCAGGGACCUCUCCAUGGAAGAAUUGAACAAAUGAGGUGACAAUGUGGGGGCCAUCGCCAUCAUCUCCUUGUGACUGGCUGCGGUGGCUUGGGUUCUCCAGAAGCAGAAGCAGCAUUAGGGGUGCAGACGGCACACUGGGGGGUUUACACCUGUGACAAGAGGAGGAGGCCGCUGGGUCCUCCAACUACAGCUCGGUCCCACCUCCUCUCCACCAGCCCCAUGGGCGCUGCCAGCAGGGACUGCCCUUCUGAGGAGCCAGGGUUGGGGAAGGGUGCAGAGAUGCCCGGCCCUGUGCCCCAACCUCACCUGGGUGUGACCAGAGUAGCACGUACCUCCAGAAGAGGCUGGAGCUCAGGGGCACCCACCAUGCUCCCAAACUACCUCUACAAAAACGAACAAAAAACUGCAGUGCACCUCUGUUGAGCGAUAUGAUCUGAUUGAAAUAUUUGUCACGCAGCACGCCCUCUUUCUGUGCCAAGAAUCGCCACGUGCAUGUCCCUUUUUUACUGUAAUAUUUAUUUUAUUUUCUUGGUUUUUUUUAACUGGUAUGAUAAAUAUAAAAUUCAAUAAAAGAAAAGCUUUACUGCAUGCGUUUUUUCUAUCCCUUAUUUUAUCCCAUGGUUAUUAAUGAUUGUCAUAUAGAAGGGUGUCAUUAAUCGGAUUUCCCUGACACCUGACACACUUGCCAACUGGUUCCAUUUCAUUUUUUCUACAGAAACAGAAGUGAAAAGGUCUUGAAAAUUAUCUGACUUUUCACAGCUUCUUUCAUUCUUUCUAGUCCUUUCUUCAAAGAUAACUGAAGGUGACUGGUGAUUGUUGAGGACUCUGGAUGAGAAAGCUGCUUUGUUUUUCCUGAGUGUGUUCUGUGGGUAUCCCUCCCGCUAAGAGACUCAGCGUAGGAAAGUCUGCGUCUCACAGGAGGCCGAUAGAGGCGGAAGCUUCCCUGUUUCUCUUUGUCAAAGAAACCCCUUUAGGGUGUCUUUAAAUUACCAUUUCCCCAAGUGCAUUUCAGAGUCAGAUUUAUAAUAACAUAAUAAUUUAUGUAGAUACAGCUUGUUAAGACUACUUCUACUGCCAAAAAAAAAUUAAAAAAUCACAGAACACCUCUAUUUGAUUAUGUGAUCUAAUUUAAAUAUUUGUGAAUGUUUGAUGAGGCCCAGUCAUGCAAAUGCCUCUUACUGUACUGAGAAUCACCAUGUACAGUUUCUCUAAGGUGGGGCUCCCGCCUUCCUGCCAGGAGACCUUAAGCUUCUUGAGAGCAGGGCCUGGGGCUUUUCUGCCACUUAGAAGGGACUGGUACGCAGUAGGUGCUGGGUCACCUUCCACGCGGACCCUCGGACCCUUGUCAAAUCACUGGGCAUGUCUCUGCUCCUCCCUCCCUUUGCCUGUUGUCAGAGCCUCACUGUGGCCUUGCUUGUUUCAGGAAGUUGCUGCACCCCGCGAGCCAGCAAGGACAGCUGCGGGGGCCCCAGCUCAUCCCUCAGAGCUGCGGAUACAAAGUCUGUAUCAUCAAAAUUACUGUUGGCCCCACUGUGCCUCCAGCUGUGUGCGUACCCCCACCCAGCUGAUGCCACGUACCCACCUGAGAGGGUGGGGGCUGCACUUGGAGGCGAGGGAAGCCUGGUGUCAAGCUCAUUUGUCUCCACCUGCGUGAACUGCUCCUGCAGCUCCAGCCUCUAGCUUCGUCCACCUUCUGGUUUGGGUUUUUAAACUAUUGUCUCUUUCUGAGCCUAUCAUUGACCUGAUUCUUGUCACCUUUCACUCAGAUCCAUGCACUUACUAUCUGAUAGCCUUGUUCUAUUUCCUAGAUUUUUUCUUCCACUGCCUUUCUCUCAAUGUACGCUCAUUUCUUGGAAGAGUUUGAUGUUGACUGUUUGCUGUGAAACUAGCUCUGAACAAAGUUCACUGUGGCAAUUGAAACAGUUGUUUAAAGCAACUUUUCUUUGAAAGAUGCACAGCUUCUGAUACCGGCCUCCCGCACUGCUAUAAAAUGCCCAGGUUAACACUGAACAACGUGAGCCACUGGACUGACCACCACGUCCCCGCUGCGGACUCCCGGCCUAGACUUCACAGUGCCUUUGUGAACGCUUCAGGGCCACACGUGGCAUUCAGGUUUCCAAAUCUGUUUUAGUUUGCAACAUCUUUUAUGUAGUUUCUUAGGGAAAAAAAAAAAGAUUCUCUAGAUUUUCUGUCCAAUAGUUUCUUUCUGAGAUUACAAAAAAAAAAAUGUAUUGUUCCUUCAUCUAUGUCAGAAUCCAGAAAACUACUUUUAUUUGGCCAAUUCUAGAACGCUUUCAAAAUGUUUUCCGCUACAGAGCACUUUCACAAAAAUUAACUCUUUUUCGCAACAAACCUAUAAAAUAACUAGCGCACAUUUAGCUCUGAGCAGCGGAGGCUCAUCUAGCACUGCGGCCUGACUCUGGGUCCAAGGCUCUUUGCCCUAGACCGCAUUGGAACCCAGGGUCAAGGAGCUCUUCAAGUAAGCAAAACAAAGUCCUUUCAGAAUAACUUAGAAGCAAAGGUCGAGAUAGCCUAAGCAGAUGACAUAAUUAAUUUGAAAUGGAUUUGUUUAUAAGUUAAUAAAAAAAGACGACAAGUGGAGGGGACCACAGUUACCUAAUCCACAAGACAGUGUUGUCACCACACAAUACAGUCAUGCAGGAAAAUGGUUUUCCGUGAGGGUGUGCCUUGAGGCUAUAGGACUUGGAAGUCAUCUUUGAGGCUCGUAGUAGGCAUGAACUGGCGGUGUGUGGGAUCCCACUGAGGAAGUCUGGACACACAGCUGGGCGCCAUCUUGAUGAGAUGGCAGUGAGUAGACAUGGAUUUGUCCAGGAGAGACAUUGCGGAAGAGGCAAAGACAAUUCCAAAGUCUCCCAAAUUCUUGGAAGAUUCAAGAAAGACAAAGCUACCAAAAAGAAACAAGAGGCCCCCAGAAGCUUCCUGGGAGGGCAGAUGAGGCUAGUGGCCCAAGCACUGAGCAAGCAGGGAGGAGGAAAUUUGACCUGGGUGACUGCCUGGGAGCAGGCGCAGAUGCUCCAACAGAAGGGCGUGCUCUGGGGAGCACUUGAGGUGGACAGAGGGCGCCGCUUCAUCCAUAGUUGGACAGACCAAGCACUGAAUUAUGUAUUCUAAGAAAUGCAAUUCUGAACCAGUGACUGCUAUUCAGUCUAAUACAAAUCAUCAAACACAAAUGAAUAUACUUCUAAGGCGGUACAGCCAAUGUCCUCUUGCCCCAGAGGUAAGAAUCGUUUUGCCCCAAAACUUUUACAAAAAAAAAAGAAAAGCUUGCAAGUCCUUGGAAAAGAAUGAUCUUCAAAAGAAAAAUUUCAAUCGGAAAAGAAGCAAUGGGGCGAUUAAAAAGUGGCUGUGACAACCACCCGUUUAAA
rnacentral:lncRNA from 1 species